ACAGCUCUUCUCAUUGAGGUUUUGCAAUCAGAGAGUCUCUGCUUCCCAGAGGACUUGACAGCUCUACAAAGCUUAAACGAAAGUUAGAGUCACAUGGCAAAGAGAUAAUUGCUGGUGUGUGACUUGGGACUUAUGGCAUGAAAAUCAAGACGAAAUACAGGCAGGAUCUGUGGGAAAGAUGCUGAGGAACUUGGGAUUGUCAUAGGGAAUGAGAAGUCAGCUAAGCUCACAUAAAAGACAAGGAGUGAGAACAGGCUGGGAAGACCUGAAGGAUGAAGAUUGAGAAUUGAUCACGGAAAAAUGAAUAAUAGCUGUAGAGGGAAGUCCAAGAUGAUGGGUGACUCAAGAUCUUGAUCAUUAUGGAAAUUUCUGUAGGGGGACUGGAAGGUAAAGCUGAGUGAGGCUUAUAGUCCUUAUGAAUCACAGAAUAUGCAGCUGGAAGGGACCCGUAAGGAUCACCGAGUCCAACUCCUGGCCCUGCACAGGACAAUCCCUGAGAGUCACACCAUGUGCCUGAGAAUAUUGUCCAAAUGCUUCUUGAAUUCUGUCAGGCUUGGGGCUGUGGCCGCUUCCCUGGGGAGCCUGUUCCAGUGCUCAACAACUUUCUGGGUGAAGAAAGUUUUUCUAGUAUCUAACCUAAACCUCCUCUGAGACAACUUCAGGUCAUUCCCUUCGGUUCUGUCACUGUUUGUUUUGUUGGGUCUGUUAUUCUUUAUACCGGUUAGACUGAGUUUAAAUUUAACUGAAAUUUAAUUUUGUUUAAAAACUGCUGUAUUCACCUCAAAAUAAUUUUGUUAUUCCAUCA